rnacentral:rRNA from 1 species
UGGGGAAUUUUGGACAAUGGGCGAAAGCCUGAUCCAGCAAUGCCGCGUGUGUGAAGAAGGCCUUCGGGUUGUAAAGCACUUUUGUCCGGAAAGAAAUCCUUGGCUCUAAUACAGUCGGGGGAUGACGGUACCGGAAGAAUAAGCACCGGCUAACUACGUGCCAGCAGCCGCGGCAAUACGUAGGGUGCAAGCGUUAAUCGGAAUUACUGGGCGUAAAGCGUGCGCAGGCGGUUUGCUAAGACCGAUGUGAAAUCCCCGGGCUCAACCUGGGAACUGCAUUGGUGACUGGCAGGCUAGAGUAUGGCAGAGGGGGGUAGAAUUCCACGUGUAGCAGUGAAAUGCGUAGAGAUGUGGAGGAAUACCGAUGGCGAAGGCAGCCCCCUGGGCCAAUACUGACGCUCAUGCACGAAAGCGUGGGGAGCAAACAGGAUUAGAUACCCUGGUAGUCCACGCCCUAAACGAUGUCAACUAGUUGUUGGGGAUUCAUUUCCUUAGUAACGUAGCUAACGCGUGAAGUUGACCGCCUGGGGAGUACGGUCGCAAGAUUAAAACUCAAAUGAAUUGACGGGGUCAUA